rnacentral:rRNA from 1 species
GAUGAACGCUGGCGGCGUGCCUAAUACAUGCAAGUCGAGCGAACAGACGAGAGUGCUUGCACUCUCUGACGUUAGCGGCGGACGGGUGAGUAACACGUGGGUAACCUACCUAUAAGACUGGGAUAACUUCGGGAAACCGGAGCUAAUACCGGAUAAUAUUUAGCUUCGCAUGAAGCAAUAGUGAAAGACGGUUCUGCUGUCACUUAUAGAUGGACCCGCGGUGUAUUAGCUAGUUGGUGAGGUAACGGCUCACCAAGGCAACGAUACAUAGUCGACCUGAGAGGGUGAUCGGCCACACUGGGACUGAGACACGGCCCAGACUCCUACGGGAGGCAGCAGUAGGGAAUCUUCCGCAAUGGACGAAAGUCUGACGGAGCAAUGCCGCGUGAGUGAAGAAGGUUUUCGGAUCGUAAAACUCUGUUGUAAGGGAAGAACAAGUACGUUAGUAACUGAACGUACCUUGACGGUACCUUACCAGAAAGCCACGGCUAACUACGUG